CAACCAUCAAGCCCCGGGCUUGUGUUGGGGACCUGCGGCUGCCGCAGGCCCUGAAAACCAGUGGCGGGCUCGCUAGUCACUCCGAGCGUAGUAGUUUACACCUCGCUCAGGGCGUGCUGCGGGUUCCGGCCGUUAAAAGCCUUAUUUUACCCAA
rnacentral:misc_RNA from 1 species